rnacentral:rRNA from 1 species
UGAGGAAUCUUCCGCAAUGGACGAAAGUCUGACGGAGCAACGCCGCGUGCAGGAUGACGGCUUUCGGGUUGUAAACUGCUUUUAUAUGGGAAGAUUAUGACGGUACCAUAUGAAUAAGGACCGGCUAACUACGUGCCAGCAGCCGCGGUAAUACGUAGGGUCCAAGCGUUAUCCGGAAUUACUGGGCGUAAAGCGUACGUAGGCUGCGCGUUAAGUGCAAUGUGAAAUCUUGUGGCUCAACCAUAUAGACUAUGUUGCAUACUGGCGUGCUAGAGGACGGCAGAGGCAAGUGGAAUUUCUAGUGUAGCAGUGAUAUGCGUAGAUAUUAGAAGGAACACCAAUGGCGAAGGCAGCUUGCUGGGCCGCCCCUGACGCUGAGGUACGAAAGCGUGGGUAGCGAACAG